GCUCCCUGGGUGACGAGCGGCGGACGGGUGAGUAAUGUCUGGGAAACUGCCUGAUGGAGGGGGAUAACUACUGGAAACGGUAGCUAAUACCGCAUAACGUCGCAAGACCAAAGAGGGGGACCUUCGGGCCUCUUGCCAUCAGAUGUGCCCAGAUGGGAUUAGCUAGUAGGUGGGGUAAUGGCUCACCUAGGCGACGAUCCCUAGCUGGUCUGAGAGGAUGACCAGCCACACUGGAACUGAGACACGGUCCAGACUCCUACGGGAGGCAGCAGUGGGGAAUAUUGCACAAUGGGCGCAAGCCUGAUGCAGCCAUGCCGCGUGUGUGAAGAAGGCCUUCGGGUUGUAAAGCACUUUCAGCGAGGAGGAAGGUGAUGAACUUAAUACGCUCAUCAAUUGACGUUACUCGCAGAAGAAGCACCGGCUAACUCCGUGCCAGCAGCCGCGGUAAUACGGAGGGUGCAAGCGUUAAUCGGAAUUACUGGGCGUAAAGCGCACGCAGGCGGUUUGUUAAGUCAGAUG
rnacentral:rRNA from 1 species